rnacentral:tRNA from 1 species
GGGAGUUUAGCGCAGCUGGGAGAGCAUCUGCCUUACAAGCAGAGGGUCAGCGGUUCGAUCACGUUAACUCCCA